GGACCAAGAACUAACUGUGUAAAGAACUUUAGUUGGAAAAAUUAAUACUGUGCAUUUCCCCCCAACACCGAAGAUCCUAGUGGGACCAUGGAUCUGUUUGGAGAUAUAGACGACGUUUCUUCUGAGAGUGAUGAGGGCAAUCAACCACCUAUUCCAGGACAGCUGAUUGAUGAACAUGGAGUGCCUCAGGACCAGCAGGAGGAAGAGCCAAUUUCUGAAACCAUAAUAGAAGAAGAAAUUCCCAGUAUCAACUCUGAUUUAGGAAAUGAAUUGUAUUUUGUUAAACUACCCAAGUUUCUCAGUAUAGAACCCAAACCUUUUGAUCCUCAGUUUUAUGAAGAUGAAUUUGAAGAUGAGAAAGUGCUUGACGAGGAAGACAGAAUCAGGUUAAAAUUAAAGGUAGAAAAUACUAUAAGAUGGAGGAUACGCCGGGAUAAAGAAGGAAAUAAAAUUAAAGAAAGCAAUGCUCGGAUGGUCAAGUGGUCAGACAGAAGCAUGUCCCUGCAUUUAGGCAAUGAAGUGUUUGAUGUGUACAAAGCCCCGCUGCUGGGCAAUUACAACCACCUGUUUAUAAGAGAAGACACUGGUCUACAGGGACAAGCCGUCUUUAAAUCCAAACUUACCUUUAGACCUCACUCUAGAGACAGUGCCACAUACAGAAAGAUGACCCUGCCACUUGCUAAUAGAAGUUCAAAGACACAGAAAAUUAGAAUCUUACCAAUGGCGGGUCGUGAUCCUGAAGGCCAACACACAGAAGUGAUGAAGAAGAAAGAAGAACGCUUGAGGGCUUCCACUCAACGGGAGUCUCAGGGAAUCCAUCUGCGGGAGAAGCGCUACCAGGAGUGGCCAAGUGUCUCCUACCAGGACCCUGGCAGUGACAGUGCGGAGGAGGAAGGCAAGGACACCAUCAGCCUGGCUGCUAUUAAAAACUAUUAUCAAGGUGAACUCCAAGAAAUGCAGGCAAAGUGUCUACCAAAACAGGCUUCACAAAAAAGCACAACUGCUGAAGCCUUGCAAAGGUCAGCGCCCCUGCCGUGACGUUUAUAGACAUUCACUGUACAGCUCCUGGAGGGACAGCUGCUGGAAUCACCUGCCUCCUGGAGGGAGCUACCCACACAGGAAUAUGAUGCUUCAGAUGUGAACGACAGAGGACCUGAAAUCCUUGAGCCCUUUAAAGAGAUCACUGUGCUCUGAUGCAUGUGUGUGGAGGUCUACGAACACCUAUAAUAGGUAAACUUUUAUGGAUACAUUUUCUGGGGAAAACAUUACUUUUUUGUGGUCAUUCAAGUCAAAGACCACAAAAGGCUCACAAACUAAUGAAUGAGCACGAAAGAGUAAGAGCAAUUGACAUGGAAAGACUGACCGGGUUCAAAAUGGACUACUAUCUGGCUUUUUUCCUUCCUGCCUUCCUCUAGAUUUUAGCAGCAAAACUCAUCUUGAGACAGGGUGCACUGAUUAUCCAAUAAAUUCCAUCUAAGAG